GACGGGGCCGGGGGGGUCAGGGGGAAACUGCACCGGGAGCCGCAGGAGCGGCCGGGAGGAGGGGCAGCUCCCGGUCCGGUAGCAGCUCCAAGCGAUGCCGGGAGCGGAGAUGAGCUCCCGGUCCGGUACCGGUGCCGGGGGCAGGGCCCGGACCCGCAGGAGCGGCAGGGAGCGGGGUAGGGACAGGUCCCAGUACCGGAGCAGGGAUGAGGUGCCGGUGCCGGUGCCGGGGGCAGGGAUGAGGUGCCGGGGGCAGGGAUGAGGUCCCCGUACCGGGGUAGGGGCAGGUCCCGGUGCCGGUACCGGGGGCAGGGAUGAGGUGCCGGUACCGGUACCGGGGGCAGGGAUGAGGUCCCGGUACCGGUGCCAGGGGCAGGGAUGAGGUGCCGGUGCCGGUACCGGGGGCAGGGAUGAGGUGCCGGUACCGGUGCCAGGGGCAGGGAUGAGGUCCCGGUACCGGGGGCAGGGAUGAGGUGCCGGUGCCGGUACCGGGGGCAGGGCUGAGGUCCCGGUACCGGGGGCAGGGAUGAGGUCCCGGUACCGGGGGCAGGGAUGAGGUGCCGGUACCGGACAGGUCCCCGCUCGUCCCCCGCGGGUCGGUGCCUCAGGGGCCGAUCUGGGUCAGAGGUGCCCGGGCCGGUCCGGCCGCUCCCGCCGGGAUCAUUCCCGCAGGGAUUUGACCUUUGGGAUCGUUCCCGUCGGCAUUUCCCGCAUGGAUUUAACCCCUGGAAUUCCAGGGAUGAGCCGAACCCGCCCGGUCCAGCCUUGGAGGCGGGAACAAAGGAAUGAAUAAAAGGAAUUUUCUUCCAUCAACUCCCUGGAUUCCCACAAAACCCGUUCUCAUUCCAGCCCCGAGCCUGCUGGAAAGCUCGGGAAUUCCUGAUCCAGCGUUUUUGGGCACCUGGGAGUGAGAGAAAGAAAAAUCCUGGGAGAAGGAAGUUGAAGUAAAGUGCUGGGAAUUUUGAAUGCCGGCACAGAUCUUC